rnacentral:rRNA from 1 species
ACCUACGGGAGGCAGCAGUGGGGAAUUUUGGGCAAUGGGCGCAAGCCUGACCCAGCAACGCCGCGUGAGGGAUGAAGGUUUUCGGAUCGUAAACCUCUGUCAGGAGGGAAGAGCAGUCCCAUGGCCAAUACCCAUGGGACCCGGCGGUACCUCCAAAGGAAGCGCCGGCUAACUCCGUGCCAGCAGCCGCGGUAAUACGGAGGGCGCAAGCGUUGUUCGGAAUUACUGGGCGUAAAGCGCGUGUAGGCGGUUUGGAAAGUCGGGUGUGAAAUCCCCGGGCCUAACCCGGGAACUGCAUCCGAAACUUCCUGACUAGAGUCCCGGAGAGGAAGGCAGAAUUCCCAGUGUAGGGGUGAAAUCCGUAGAUAUUGGGAGGAAUACCAGUGGCGAAGGCGGCCUUCUGGACGGUGACUGACGCUGAGACGCGAAAGCGUGGGGAGCAAACAGGAUUAGAUACCCUGGUAGUCCACGCUGUAAACGGUGCGUACUAGGUGUCGGGGGUAUUCACCCCUCCGGUGCCGCAGGUAACCCAAUAAGUACGCCGCCUGGGGAGUACGGUCGCAAGGCUAAAACUCAAAGGAAUUGACGG